AACGAACGCUGGCGGCAUGCCUAACACAUGCAAGUCGAACGAGACCUUCGGGUCUAGUGGCGCACGGGUGCGUAACGCGUGGGAAUCUGCCCUUGGGUUCGGAAUAACAGUUGGAAACGACUGCUAAUACCGGAUGAUGACGUAAGUCCAAAGAUUUAUCGCCCAAGGAUGAGCCCGCGUAGGAUUAGCUAGUUGGUGAGGUAAAGGCUCACCAAGGCGACGAUCCUUAGCUGGUCUGAGAGGAUGAUCAGCCACACUGGGACUGAGACACGGCCCAGACUCCUACGGGAGGCAGCAGUGGGGAAUAUUGGACAAUGGGCGAAAGUCUGAUCCAGCAAUGCCGCGUGAGUGAUGAAGGCCUUAGGGUUGUAAAGCUCUUUUACCCGGGAUGAUAAUGACAGUACCGGGAGAAUAAGCGCCGGCUAACUCCGUG
rnacentral:rRNA from 1 species